rnacentral:tRNA from 2 species
UCCGUUGUAGUCUAGGUGGUUAGGAUACACGGCUCUAACCCUAGAGACCCGGGUUCAAAUCCCGGCAACGGAG